rnacentral:tRNA from 1 species
GAGGGUAUAGCUCAGUGGUAGAGCACAUGUACAGCAUACACGAGGUCCUGGGUUCAACCCCCGGUAUCUCCA